GAUGAACGCUGGCGGCGUGCCUAAUACAUGCAAGUCGAGCGAACAGACGAGGAGCUUGCUCCUCCGACGUUAGCGGCGGACGGGUGAGUAACACGUGGAUAACCUACCUAUAAGACUGGGAUAACUUCGGGAAACCGGAGCUAAUACCGGAUAAUAUAUUGAACCGCAUGGUUCAAUAGUGAAAGACGGUUUUGCUGUCACUUAUAGAUGGAUCCGCGCCGCAUUAGCUAGUUGGUAAGGUAACGGCUUACCAAGGCGACGAUGCGUAGCCGACCUGAGAGGGUGAUCGGCCACACUGGAACUGGGCCACGGUCCAGACUCCUACGGGAGGCAGCAGUAGGGAAUCUUCCGCAAUGGGCGAAAGCCUGACGGAGCAACGCCGCGUGAGUGAUGAAGGUCUUCGGAUCGUAAAACUCUGUUAUUAGGGAAGAACAAAUGUGUAAGUAACUAUGCACGUCUUGACGGUACCUAAUCAGAAAGCCACGGCUAACUACGUG
rnacentral:rRNA from 1 species